rnacentral:rRNA from 1 species
UACGAAGGGAGCAAGCGUUGUCCGGAUUUAUUGGGCGUAAAGAGCGCGCAGGCGGCUGGUCAAGUCCGAUGUGAAAUCUCCCGGCUCAACUGGGAAACUGCAUCGGAAACUGAUCGGCUUGAAGGUGGGAGAGGGUAGUGGAAUUCCCGGUGUAGUGGUGAAAUGCGUAGAUAUCGGGAGGAACACCAGUGGCGAAGGCGACUACCUGGCCCAUUCUUGACGCUGAGGCGCGAAAGCUAGGGGAGCGAACGGG